CACUAUUGUAGAAUCCCCAGGGCUAAUUCUCUGCCACUUGGACUCUCAGACUUUGAGAAACUUCCUCUUGAAUAAUGAAGAAGAGAACCAAAAGUAUCACAGACCUUCUGUUGAAGCUGAACCUCUGUCUGGGCCUUGGACUCCCAAAUCUGCUUGUCAUGUUCAAGCCUGGAAAAAAAGAGACAAUUAUUAAUUAGAUAACAAGGAAAAACUACUUGGUGCCUAAGGAAUAUAUACAACAUUACUGAGACCUACAGACAAAUCAGUAUUCAUAAUUAAAGUAUAUUCAGGGCAGCAUCUGCAGCAACUAGAUUACUUCCUGGCACAAAGAACAGGUACCCCAGAAAUCUGUUAAAUGAAUGAAUGACAACUCAAGAAACAAAUGAAUUCAAAAUGGUAUAUGAUGUGUUCAAACACCUCACAAGAUUAUUUGGGGAAGAGGUACAGUGGCAGAAAUGGAAGUACAAAAGAUGUGUGCGUAAGGUCUUUGGAUGUUGAAGAUGACAGAUUAAAGAAUGGGACACCAGCAUGCCAUGCUUCCCAUCGAGCAGCAAAAAAGAAUCUCCAAAAAUACCUUCUCCAGUACACUGACAACAACUAAACUGAGACACAAGCAAGCCCCUGAAUUAGGGAGUCUUUGUAAUUAGAGAAAACAAAAUGUCCACCUUUCAAAUUAUAAAGUCAAUGUCCUAUGCCUAAGUAAAAGUACAUGUAUAUCUCACUCACCGAAGAGAACAUUCUCUGCAGGCAAGAACCAUUUCUCUUCUAGCUUCAUGCAUAGGACAUGCACUCGAUAAACAAUUGUUGGAUAAAUAAAUCAAUGAUAUAUGCAUAUAUUAAUAUUCUACUUCAAAAAGUGCUGUAUUCUGAAACUUUAUUUAGUGGUAUAUUCUAAAGGAUUACUUAGAACUUGGAAGAAGUUUUCACUCAAAAACAAUUAAAUGAAUCAACCAUGAAAUACCACUGGAGCACUUCUGGUUACCACACUAAAUAAAAACACACUAAAUAAAAACAAAUACCUUCAAGUUAGUAGAUGAUAAACUUAAAAACAAUGAAGCCAAUUUCCAAAAUAUACUCAAUUAAUUUUGUAAGAAUAUUAAUAUAAAUAAAAGACUUUAUGAUUUCAAAAUCACUCCUUUUCAACUUUAAUUUUUUCAAAGUUUACUCUGGCUUCAUUGAUUUGAAGCUUUGGAUCACGUCUUUAAUGUAGCUACAAUUGGCAAACUGAAGAGAAACCGAUUUCUGACUACCACAUACAUUUGCCAAUUAAAUUCAGCUUUUGAGUACCAACAACCUGGUUAGAGGCAUAAAAGGCAAGGUAAGGACAAGGAAAAAUAAUUAAUAUGCAAUGGAAGAUACGAUCACCAAAAAGAAGCCAAUUAAGGAGCACGCUAAGACCAAGUGGAGAACAAUAUGUAAGGGUAGAAAAGUGGCUGUGAUCAGUUAAUUAAAUGUUAACCAAAUGACAGUCAUUCUACUAAGUUUUAGCAACACACCUGUUGCAUCUCUGUUUCCACAUCUGCCUGGGUUACUAACUGAAGAAGCUCAUCUUCAUGAAGACGAACUUGUGUUUCAAAGCGGGCAUCUUUCUCUCGGACCACCUGCUGCAUGGAACUCAACUAAAGACACACACCAGAGAAACUAUACACGUUACACUCCCCGAAUAUUGCACAAACAUAACUCACACACUAUUCUCCAAAGAUAGACUCUGAGAACUGAUAGAGAAUAGGUUUUUUUAAAUUAAAUUUUUAAUGUCAAGGAUGAGAAUGUUGGAAGAGAGAUAGGCCUGACAGUAACUUCCAAAUGUAAGAGAAAUCCUAUUAUCAAACUCAGAAAUCAGCCUAAAUAUAAAUUUUGAUUAAAAAAUACAUUUGCAUGGUUACUAGAAAUGUUUACAUAAAAAAGAGGUAUAUUUUUUUAAAGUUCGCAGAUUACAAUAUUA